rnacentral:misc_RNA from 1 species
GGGAGUCUGAACACUCAUGGUCUUCGCCC